GUUAUUUUAGGUUAUUUUUAUAAUGGUGGACGUGUGUAAUUUUUUAAAAACACAAUACAUCCGGUAGCUAUGAUGAUUUGAUUCUACUUAUUGAUGGCUAGAUAUUUUAAUUUUUUUUAAAAAAAUUCUCUCAAUUUGCGUGUCACAUAGCCAUGCCGGCAGAAUCCUCUACUCCGAGGUGUUGGCGCAAGGGCCCAUCCGUAGAGGACGCGCAAGGGCCCAUCCGUUGAUGGAUCAACCACCCAAUCGAAUGUACUUUCAGCCCAUGUUAAAUGUGGGGGAUAACGGGCUGCCAUCCAGCACGCUCAAGUCGGUCGACACACAGUUCGGCCCAUGGGAAAUCAGACGCAUGCACCCAGACCACUGCGAUCGGUAUAGGAAGACGAAUCACACGAUUCACGAACCAUUUGGGGAAAAAAGCCCGCAGCCGCUGCCGCGCUUGUCUAGCCGCGGUCAAGAGGCGCCUCCCUGCCUGACGGUGCCGGUGGCCUUGACGAGCCCGACACGACGACGUCCUCCUCCUCCUGCUCCUUCGUCGUCGAUCGGCC
rnacentral:lncRNA from 1 species